rnacentral:lncRNA from 1 species
GCAUAAUUUAGAUAAAGGCAGAAGUUGGAAAAAAGAAGGGAAGGCAGAAUUUGAGGAAAAAGAAAGGAAGGCAUAAUUUGAAGAAGGGGAAGACAAAAGUCGAAAAAAAGAAAGGAAGGCAUAAUUUGGAAAAAGAUGAAGGCAGAAUUUGAGGAGAAAGAAAGGAAGGCAUAAUUUAAAGAAGGGGAAGGCAGAAGUCAAAAAAGAAAAGAAAAGAAAGGAAGGCAUAAUUUGGGAACAAGAAAGGAAGGUAGAAUUUGAAAAGAAAGGAAGUUGGAAUUUGGAAAAUUAAGAAAGUC